CAUUAAGAACUGCUAAUUCUCAAUUUCCAUGGUUCAAAUCCAUGGCUCACUUAGCUUUUGAAAGAUAA
rnacentral:tRNA from 1 species